rnacentral:lncRNA from 1 species
AAUUUUCUAAUGAUUAAGGCUGUCUUCAUCAUCAUCUUUCUCUUCCAAUGAUUCCUCAUCAUCCUCAUCUUCUGCCACAGAUUUGAGGACAAUGAGUUUCUACCUUUUGACCACCUCAUCAUGUACUACUUCAUUGCUAGCUCAUGUGUUAUUAGCGAUCUGAUUAGCUUCUUAAAUGGUAGAUUGUUAAGGCCUUUUACUUCUUGGAUGAUGGUCAAUUUGGCUUUUCAUAUCCUUGGCAG